ACCUUCCCCAGGGGGAGCUCCUAUUCCGGGGCUGAGAGGAGGACGGAAGUCCUCGACCCCAAGAACCUGAUCCGGGUAAUGCCGGCGGAGGGAUCGGGGAAGGAGGAAAU
rnacentral:ncRNA from 2 species